rnacentral:rRNA from 1 species
GGAUUACCUCAGUAACGGCGAGUGAAGCGGUAACAGCUCAAAUUUGAAAGCUAGCUCUUUUAGGGUUCGCAUUGUAAUUUGUAGAAGAUGCUUCGGGUGUGGCCCCGGUCUAAGUUCCUUGGAACAGGACGUCAUAGAGGGUGAGAAUCCCGUAUGUGACUGGGUGCUUUCGCUCAUGUGAAGCUCUUUCGACGAGUCGAGUUGUUUGGGAAUGCAGCUCAAAAUGGGUGGUAAAUUUCAUCUAAAGCUAAAUAUUGGCCAGAGACCGAUAGCGCACAAGUAGAGUGAUCGAAAGAUGAAAAGCACUUUGGAAAGAGAGUUAAACAGUACGUGAAAUUGUUGAAAGGGAAGCGCUUGCAACCAGACUUGCGCGCUGAUGAUCAUCCGGGCUUCUGUCCGGUGCACUCGUCUGCGCUCAGGCCAGCAUCGGUUUCGGUGGUGGGAUAAAGGCCUUGGGAAUGUAGCUCCUCUCGGGGAGUGUUAUAGCCCUCGGUGCAAUGCCGCCUACCGGGACCGAGGACCGCGCUUCGGCUAGGAUGCUGGCGUAAUGGUUGUAAGCGACCCGUCUUGAAACACGGACCAAGGAGUCUAACAUCUAUGCGAGUGUUUGGGUGUCAAACCCAUACGCGUAAUGAAAGUGAACGGAGGUGAGAACCCUUAAGGGUGCAUCAUCGACCGGUCCUGAUGUCUUCGGAUGGAUCUGAGUAAGAGCAUAGCUGUUGGGACCCGAAAGAUGGUGAACUAUGCGUGAAUAGGGUGAAGCCAGAGGAAACUCUGGUGGAGGCUCGCAGCGGUUCUGACGUGCAAAUCGAUCGUCAAAUUUGCGUAUAGGGGCGAAAGACUAAUCGAACCAUCUAGUAGCU